ensembl:lncRNA
CAAUAUUGUCUCCAUAGCUUGGUUAGCAACACUUUUGUUUGAUUUAACCAAAAUCUUUCCAAGUGAAGAUUCUUUCUACUGAGAUUUGAAGGACUGGGUCAAAUGUGAAAGUGGUCACAAAAACAAGCAUGUUUUUAAAAGGCUUUACAUUGUGCUACAUUUUGUUCACUCUUUGCAGCUGCAGUGUUAUCUGGCUGAUUUCUUCAAUAGUUUGUAAUUUAGAAGCUUUUUCUUUUUCUUUUUUUAAGAACAACAUACAGAAGAAAUAUUCAGAGAAAUAAGAAAAAAUGCUGGAAGAACUUCUCAAGAUCAAAGCCCAGGAAGAUAAAAAAGAGGCUGCAGUUAUUCUUCUGUGUACAGGAAGAGCACAGUUUCCUCUCAGAAUAUUUAGUUUAAGUUUCAGCUCUCAGCAGACGCCAACUUCAGCACCCAAGAUGAAGACCUUCUUCCCAAAAUUUGCCAUCAAACAAUACAGCACGCAGUUUGCAUUGGUCUGCUUUGGGUGUUGUCCGUGUUCAUCGAUGGAGACUGGUUUGUUUGCUGUUGCAAUACGUAUAAAGAACAUCCACAGUUAGGCUGCAAAGACAAAGAAAACAUUACAGCUGAGGAACGAGUCCUGAUUGCGAAGCUGAAAAACAAAUCCAUGCUUAUUGGCUUGGGUGCACUCUUGGUUGGCUUUGUUUUUGUUACCUUUGUGUUACCACUUGGAUGGAAGAAAUGCUGUGAAGAGAGAGAGAAUUGCCCAAGUUGCUGCGACAGAAAACUUCUCUACGACCAAAUGAUUUUGGAAGAGGAAGAAAAUGUACUCACAGAGAUGAUAAGAAAAGCAGCAAAAGAUAAGCUGACCGAAGAAAUGCAGAAGAAACUUGGCAGUGGACAAUGGGGGGAAUGUUUUGAUGUUGCUGAAAAGCUGAUUGAAAACAAAACUCCACAGAAGGAGGACAAACUAAUGGAGGAGUCUGAUUCAGAAAAACGCACAACAGAAAUGUGAGGAAAUUAUCGUCACUGCGACCGUCUUAUCAGAAUUCAGAAGUUUCAUUUUCAGUUUAUCAGAAAAAAAAUAUGUCUGUACGUCACAAGUGAAAGGAAACUAUAGUAAGAUUGUUAUGUUAUGCUUCUAAAUACCAUGUUAUGGUGAUACAUGUAUGUUUCAUAUAUUUCAAAGUUUUUUUUUUUAUGUCACAUGAGGGUAGAUUUUUAAUGGUGCUAUUUUUACGCUAUGAUAUUGUUUGAAUUUCACAAAUGUGAGCAUGUUAUAAGGAGCUUCUACAGAAAGCCUUAGAGUCAUUGUGCAUCACUUGGUAGCUGACAGCUUGUCUCUAUCUUGUAGCCUUUGGUUGGCUUGGGAACACUUUCCCUUUAUAUUUGGAUCAGCUGUAGUCUUCACUCUCCCUCGUGGCCACUUUAUCACUCUGUUAGUUUAGUUUAACUUUUGACCUGCUGGCUUCACACUGACGUUGGCUAUUUUGUUUCUAGUUGCUUUAUGUGUGACCGUCUCUUUAAGCUCAAAUUUUACAAGUAGCCUAUUAAAGACAUUAAUAAGAUAGUUUUCACUGUUCCUGUAACAUUUAAUGCCACCUGUGUAUAAACAACAUGCUCAAAGAAGCUGUGAAGUUUCAGGUUUGACAGAAAUCAUAAAAAUGAAGCUUUUGGGUCUAGAAAGAGAAAAACAGAGAUUUGGAUUUUAAUGUGCUAAGCUGAUAUUUUAAUAAAUACUUUCAAAUGAAAUGCACAAUUUGAACUGUAAUAUGUGUUUCAGUAAAAAUGAAUAAAAAAAACAUGAG